rnacentral:tRNA from 13 species
GCGCCCGUAGCUCAGCUGGAUAGAGUACACGGCUACGAACCGUGCGGUCGGGAGUUCGAAUCUCUCCGGGCGCGCCA